rnacentral:pre_miRNA from 1 species
UAACAUCCUCAGGCUGGCCGGCCCCCAGGUUGGGCUGGGCGAGUAUCUCUUUGAAAGAUUUACCUUCAAGCAUGACUAGGAGC